rnacentral:rRNA from 1 species
AUUGAACGCUGGCGGCAUGCUUUACACAUGCAAGUCGAACGGUAACAGGGUGCUUGCACCGCUGACGAGUGGCGAACGGGUGAGUAAUGCAUCGGAAUGUACCGUGUAAUGGGGGAUAGCUCGGCGAAAGCCGGAUUAAUACCGCAUACGCCCUGCGGGGGACAGUGGGGGACUGAAAGGCCUCACGUUAUACGAGAAGCCGAUGUCUGAUUAGCUAGUUGGUGAGGUAAAGGCUCACCAAGGCGUCGAUCAGUAGCGGGUCUGAGAGGAUGAUCCGCCACACUAGGACUGAGACACGGCCCUGACUCCUACGGGAAGCAGCAGUGGGGAAUUUUGGACAAUGGGCGCAAGCCUGCUCCAGCCAUGCCGCGUGUCUGAAGAAGGCCUUCGGGUUGUAAAGGACUUUUGUCCGGGAGCGUAUCCUAGUGGUUAAUAACCGCUGGGUCUGAGAGUACCGGAAGAAUAAGCACCGGCUAACUACGUG